rnacentral:lncRNA from 10 species
UUACUGUUGAAUGAAUAAAUGCUGAAUUCUGAGCUAGGUAACCAUAUUAAUUAAUUAGUAAUAUAUGCAUGCGUUUAUAUAUUUUUCAAAUUACAAGCAUUAUGUAAAUAUGAAACACACGUAGCAGCUAUGAAAAUCAUUUCUAGCCUAUACAUAAACCUACUUAAAACUACAAAUAUGUAGACCUGAAAGGAGCAUAGCAGGCCUAUCUAGCUUAAGUCUGAUUUUACAGAUAACUAUUUGCAUUGAGACAAAGAAAGAUAAGAAACUUGCCCCAAGUCACCCAGUUAUACACAACAAAGCUGACCAAGAUACAAGCUAUACACAGGUUCAUAGCACUUUCCGUUAUGUAUACAUUUCAAAUAACAAGUAAGCAUCUACUAUAUGUAAAGUACUGUGAAAAGUAAAGAAUAUAAUGAAUAAAACCUGAUCUCUGCUAUUAAGGAGAUCAAUCUAUAAGGAGAGACAGACAAGUAAUAGUUAUAAAUACAGCAUAAGUAGAGUAACAAAAAAAAUAGAGUUAACACUCUUGACAUCAAAUACAAUUUGCCUUUAAUUCCCAUCAGUCUUUCCUACAAUUUAACAAAAACUUAUCUAUGUUUCUUAAUAACAAUUAAAAGUAUACAUAAUUAAGAAUCAAACUGGGCACAGUAGCUCACAGCUGUAAUCACGGCAUUUGGGAAGCUGAGGUGGGAGGAUCACUUGAGCCCAGGAGUUCAGGACCAGCCUGGGCAACACAGGGAGAUCCCGUCUCUCAAAAAACAAAAACAAAAACAAAAAAAAAAUUAGCAGGGUGUGGUGGUGCACAGCUGCAGUCCUAGCUACUUGAUAGGCUGAGGUGAAAGGAUCACUUGAGCCCAGGAGUUCGGGGCUACUGUGAGCUAUGAUGCUGCCAUCGACCUCCACCCGCGGCCCCGCCAUGGGGGACACCCUGGGGCCCAGCCCGCAGCGACAAAGCCUCCGCCAGAGCGGGAGAAAGAAGAGACGUUGGCUCCCGCCCAGUAGUUCAGAAACCUUGGUUCAUGCCUGGGGCGCAGGAGCCUGACGAGAAAGCGGAAGAAGCGGCGCCUCUCGGGACACUGGAGUCAGCAGAAACGAACCCCCGGGUUCGC